rnacentral:rRNA from 1 species
GAUGAACGCUGGCGGCGUGCCUAAUACAUGCAAGUCGAGCGAACGGACGAGAAGCUUGCUUCUCUGAUGUUAGCGGCGGACGGGUGAGUAACACGUGGAUAACCUACCUAUAAGACUGGGAUAACUUCGGGAAACCGUAGCUAAUACCGGAUAAUAUUUUGAACUGCAUGGUUCAAACGUGAAAGACGGUCUUUCUGUCACUUAUAGAUUGAUCCGCGCUGCAUUAGCUAGUUGGUAAGGUAACGGCUUACCAAGGCAACGAUGCAUAGCCGACCUGAGAGGGUGAUCGGCCACACGGGAACUGAGACACGGUCCAGACUCCUACGGGAGGCAGCAGUAGGGAAUCUUCCGCAAUGGGCGAAAGCCUGACGGAGCAACGCCGCGUGAGUGAUGAAGGUCUUCGGAUCGUAAAACUCUGUUAUUAGGGAAGAACAUAUGUGUAAGUAACUGUGAACAUCUUGACGGUACCUAAUCAGAAAGCCACGGCUAACUACGUG